GAACCGGCGAACCUCGGCCCCUGAAAAGUGGAACGUGCACACUUAACCACUAUGCCACCGGGCUGGCCCCCAGAACCAUAGUUUAAUAGGAACAUACAAUGUGACUUACAGAAAUGUUUCCAUACUAGUUUUAAGGAACACAUCUGUAGCACAAAUCAAGUGCAUUGAUGGAAAAAAUUCUGUAUUUUAUUUAUACAUUAAUGUAUACAGAUGUGCUGAAAACUAUUGAAAAGCUAUUUGUGGAUAUGAAUCCAAUGGAGUCAACUCAUGAGACUAUGAAAUACACGUAUUAGCAAAGUGUUGUGUUAAGAAAACUGUGACUCCCCCAUUCAAAGUAGCUUUUGAAGACACUAGAAGUACUUUUGAAAGCCAAAAAAGAUGAACCCUCACAAAGCUGAAAACAACACUGCAGACGUCAUCUAGGUGGAGUCACUAACAACUGAAAGAAGACAGAGUUUAAGAAAAAAAACCCAUAAGCUUUGGCACAUGAAACAGAGACCUCCUGAAAAAUAAAAAUGAAAUUAAAUGAUUAUGCUCUCAUUGCUAAAACAGCAAUGUGUAUGACCUGCACCUCUGCCUUGCUCGAAACACUAGUGACGUAGCUGGUCCCUGUGUGCUGAUUCAGUAACAAGAGGAAAUGCCUGUUACAUGUGCUUCCUGUUGAAACCUAAGUGACAUCACUAGCCUGUAAGGUGCCACGCCUCUAGAUUGUCUCCUAUGAAUGACCAGAAACUGAUAAAUCAUCCCGUACUGCUGGAAAUACAGAAGCAACAAUCUAAGUCCGUGACACCCCUGUACCAUCAGACUUCAAAACUCAACGCUCACCAGUGAGCCCUGACUGUUAUGCUACGUUUUGUGUGGUAUCAGGUUUUAACUUUCUACUUGAUAAUCUCUUUAUUGGUAGAGAGUUAUGAACUCUUCUGCCUCUGGGCCUUUGAGCACGCCGUUCCCUCUGCUAGAAAUUCAUCUUGACCCUUCAUUGCGCUGACUCCCAUUCUUCUUCAGUUACUAGAGGAGCCCAGCCAGCCUAGGCAAGUGGCUGAAGAGGCGAGGAGGAGGCAGUGAACAGUUUAGGAACGAAUCGGCCUCUGGUCACGCUGUAGACGGGACGUGUGGAGUAAGAGAACGUGAAAUUUGGCAAUUGACCCUGGCGGCUUGGACUAAUCCUUACUUGAUCAUUCUUUUAUUACUCUACUGGGUCCCAUUUGCUAAUAUGUUAUCUAGACUCUGUUUUAUUUGCUUUUAUAAGAUUGGUCUGUAGUUUGCUUUUGUAGUGUUUACUUGU
rnacentral:lncRNA from 1 species